UGGUGGAGUGAUUUGUCUGGUUAAUUCCGAUAACGAACGAGACUCUAGCCUACUAAAUAGACUGUAGAUUUUGUUGUCUGCAGAGCUUCUUAGAGGGACCAGUGGCUUAUAGCCACGUGAAGUUGAGCAAAAACA
rnacentral:rRNA from 1 species